rnacentral:rRNA from 1 species
UACGUAGGGUGCGAGCGUUGUCCGGAAUUAUUGGGCGUAAAGAGCUCGUAGGCGGUUUGUUGCGUCUAUCGUGAAAACCUGCAGCUUAACUGUGGGCUUGCGGUGGAUACGGGCAGACUUGAGUUCGGUAGGGGAGACUGGAAUUCCUGGUGUAGCGGUGAAAUGCGCAGAUAUCAGGAGGAACACCGGUGGCGAAGGCGGGUCUCUGGGCCGAUACUGACGCUGAGGAGCGAAAGCGUGGGGGGAGCAAACAGG